rnacentral:tRNA from 1 species
GGCCUCGUAGCUUAGUUGGCAGAGCAUUGGACUGGUAUCCCAAAGGUCACGGGUUCGAUUCCCACCGUGGUCA